rnacentral:rRNA from 1 species
CACAUGCUGUGAACUCGAAGAGUAGGGCGGGACACGUGGUAUCCUGUCUGAAUAUGGGGGGACCAUCCUCCAAGGCUAAAUACUCCUGACUGACCGAUAGUGAACCAGUACCGUGAGGGAAAGGCGAAAAGAACCCCGGCGAGGGGAGUGAAAAAGAACCUGAAACCGUGUACGUACAAGCAGUGGGAGCCUCUUUAUGGGGUGACUGCGUACCUUUUGUAUAAUGGGUCAGCGACUUAUAUUCUGUAGCAAGGUUAACCGUAUAGGGGAGCCGAAGGGAAACCGAGUCUUAACUGGGCGUUAAGUUGCAGGGUAUAGACCCGAAACCCGGUGAUCUAGCCAUGGGCAGGUUGAAGGUUGGGUAACACUAACUGGAGGACCGAACCGACUAAUGUUGAAAAAUUAGCGGAUGACCUGUGGCUGGGGGUGAAAGGCCAAUCAAACCGGGAGAUAGCUGGUUCUCCCCGAAAGCUAUUUAGGUAGCGCCUCGUGAACUCAUCUUCGGGGGUAGAGCACUGUUUCGGCUAGGGGGCCAUCCCGGCUUACCAACCCGAUGCAAACUACGAAUACCGAAGAAUGUUAUCACGGGAGACACACGGCGGGUGCUAACGUCCGUCGUGAAGAGGGAAACAACCCAGACCGCCAGCUAAGGUCCCAAAGUCAUGGUUAAGUGGGAAACGAUGUGGGAAGGCACAGACAGCCAGGAUGUUGGCUUAGAAGCAGCCAUCAUUUAAAGAAAGCGUAAUAGCUCACUGGUCGAGUCGGCCUGCGCGGAAGAUGUAACGGGGCUAAACCAUGCACCGAAGCUGCGGCAGCGACACUAUGUGUUGUUGGGUAGGGGAGCGUUCUGUAAGCCGUUGAAGGUGUGCUGUGAGGCAUGCUGGAGGUAUCAGAAGUGCGAAUGCUGACAUAAGUAACGAUAAAGCGGGUGAAAAGCCCGCUCGCCGGAAGACCAAGGGUUCCUGUCCAACGUUAAUCGGGGCAGGGUGAGUCGACCCCUAAGGCGAGGCCGAAAGGCGUAGUCGAUGGGAAACAGGUUAAUAUUCCUGUACUUGGUGUUACUGCGAAGGGGGGACGGAGAAGGCUAUGUCAGCCGGGCGACGGUUGUCCCGGUUUAAGCAUGUAGGCGGAGGUUCCAGGUAAAUCCGGUACCUUAUUAACGCUGAGGUGUGAUGACGAGGCACUACGGUGCUGAAGUGAUAAAUGCCCUGCUUCCAGGAAAAGCCUCUAAGCAUCAGGUAACACGAAAUCGUACCCCAAACCGACACAGGUGGUCAGGUAGAGAAUACCAAGGCGCUUGAGAGAACUCGGGUGAAGGAACUAGGCAAAAUGGUGCCGUAACUUCGGGAGAAGGCACGCUGAUAUGUAGGUGAAGCCCCUGCGGGCGGAGCUGAAAUCAGUCGAAGAUACCAGCUGGCUGCAACUGUUUAUUAAAAACACAGCACUGUGCAAACACGAAAGUGGACGUAUACGGUGUGACGCCUGCCCGGUGCCGGAAGGUUAAUUGAUGGGGUUAGCGGCAACGCGAAGCUCUUGAUCGAAGCCCCGGUAAACGGCGGCCGUAACUAUAACGGUCCUAAGGUAGCGAAAUUCCUUGUCGGGUAAGUUCCGACCUGCACGAAUGGCGUAAUGAUGGCCAGGCUGUCUCCACCCGAGACUCAGUGAAAUUGAACUCGCUGUGAAGAUGCAGUGUACCCGCGGCAAGACGGAAAGACCCCGUGAACCUUUACUAUAGCUUGACACUGAACACUGGUCCUUGAUGUGUAGGAUAGGUGGGAGGCUUUGAAGCGUGGACGCCAGUCUGCGUGGAGCCAACCUUGAAAUACCACCCUUUAAUGGCUGGUGUUCUAACGUAGACCCGUUACCCGGGUUGCGGACAGUGUCUGGUGGGUAGUUUGACUGGGGCGGUCUCCUCCCAAAGAGUAACGGAGGAGCACGAAGGUUGGCUAAUCCUGGUCGGACAUCAGGAGGUUAGUGCAAUGGCAUAAGCCAGCUUGACUGCGAGCGUGACGGCGCGAGCAGGUGCGAAAGCAGGUCAUAGUGAUCCGGUGGUUCUGAAUGGAAGGGCCAUCGCUCAACGGAUAAAAGGUACUCCGGGGAUAACAGGCUGAUACCGCCCAAGAGUUCAUAUCGACGGCGGUGUUUGGCACCUCGAUGUCGGCUCAUCACAUCCUGGGGCUGAAGUAGGUCCCAAGGGUAUGGCUGUUCGCCAUUUAAAGUGGUACGCGAGCUGGGUUUAGAACGUCGUGAGACAGUUCGGUCCCUAUCUGCCGUGGGCGCUGGAGAAUUGAGGGGGGCUGCUCCUAGUACGAGAGGACCGGAGUGGACGCAUCACUGGUGUUCGGGUUGUCAUGCCAAUGGCACUGCCCGGUAGCUAAAUGCGGAAGAGAUAAGUGCUGAAAGCAUCUAAGCACGAAACUUGCCCCGAGAUGAGUUCUCCCUGAGACUUUAAGUCUCCUGAAGGAACGUUGAAGACGACGACGUUGAUAGGUCGGGUGUGUAAGCGCAGCGAUGCGUUGAGCUAACCGAUACUAAUGAACCGUGAGGCUUAACCUU